CCUACGGGAGGCAGCAGUGGGGAAUUUUCCGCAAUGGGCGCAAGCCUGACGGAGCAAGACCGCGUGAGGGAGGAAGGCUCUUGGGUUGUAAACCUCUUUUAUCAGGGAAGAAGAUCUGACGGUACCUGAUGAAUCAGCAUCGGCUAACUCCGUGCCAGCAGCCGCGGUAAUACGGAGGAUGCAAGCGUUAUCCGGAUUUAUUGGGCGUAAAGCGUCCGCAGGUGGUUAUUCAAGUCUGCUGUUAAAGCGCGAGGCUUAACUUCGUACAGGCAGUGGAAACUGGAUGACUGGAGUAUGGUAGGGGUAGCGGGAAUUCCCAGUGUAGCGGUGAAAUGCGUAGAUAUUGGGAAGAACACCAGCGGCGAAAGCGCGCUACUGGGCCAUUACUGACACUCAUGGACGAAAGCUAGGGGAGCGAAAGGGAUUAGAUACCCCUGUAGUCCUAGCUGUAAACGAUGGGUACUAGGUGUUGACCGUAUCGACCCGGUCAGUGCCGUAGCUAACGCGUUAAGUACCCCGCCUGGGGAGUAUGCACGCAAGUGUGAAACUCAAAUGAAUUGACGG
rnacentral:rRNA from 1 species